rnacentral:lncRNA from 1 species
UUUAUAUUCCGUUUCGACAUGCGGGGCGACCUAGUCGCUUCGGUAAGCACAACCCACCUUAACUUACUCUCCGAUUGCUCGUAGUCACUUGCAAUCGGUCGCCCGCGGCGCCCGCCGCUCGGCUCGACUCAAUUCACGCGCGACCACCGAACGACCUCCGAUUCGCGAUUCGGAAAUUAAAGGUCUUCGGUUUCUUGCUACGAUACUCGGAAUCCGAUCCCGCGAUU